CCUACGGGUGGCUGCAGUGAGGAAUAUUGGUCAAUGGACGAGAGUCUGAACCAGCCAAGUAGCGUGAAGGAUGACUGCCCUAUGGGUUGUAAACUUCUUUUAUAAAGGAAUAAAACGAGGCACGUGUGCCUUUUUACAUGUACUUUAUGACUAAGGAUCGGCUACCUCCGUGCCAGCAGCCGAGGUAAUACGGAGGAUCCGAGCGUUAUCAGGAUUUAUUGGGUUUAAAGGGAGCGUAGAUGGGUUGUUAAGUCAGUUGUGAAAGUUUGCGGCUAAACCGUAAAAUUGCAAUUGAUACUGGCAGCCUUGAGGACAGUUGAGGUAGGCGGAAUUCGUGGUGUAGCGGUGAAAUGCUUAGAUAUAACGAAGAACCCCGAUUGCGAAGGCAGCUUACUAAACUGUGACUGACAUUGAUGCUCGAAAGUGUGGGUAUCAAGCAGGAUUAGAUACCCCAGUAGUC
rnacentral:rRNA from 1 species